CUUGGUCAUUUAGAGGAAGUAAAAGUCGUAACAAGGUUUUCUCCCCCUAUUGAAGCCUUCCGCAGCGACUUGAUAAAUAACUGCGUAGCCGCUUUGCAGACCACACCACGAAAGUGCUAGGACUUGAUAACUUCGAGUACAGCAGCCUAGAGUUCUAGGUCCACAGAUCAUGUAGUGGUGGUCAUUUAGAUUGAGAUAUGACCGGUCUUAACUAAUUCUAGUUAAGAAUCAACGUUCGUAGGUGAACCUGCGGAAGGAUCAUUAUUGAAAAAGGGAACCCUUCGGGUUCAACCUUAAACCCUUUGUCUUAAUUACCUGUUUCUUUGGCGGGCUUGCCGUCAGAAGUUUUCUCAAACCCAUUAUAAAUGUGUCAUCUGAAUAACAAAUAAAUCAAAAACUUUCAACAACGGAUCUCUUGGUUCUGGCAUCGAUGAGAACGCAGCGAAAUGCGAUAAGUAAUGUGAAUUGCAGAAUUCAGUGAACAUCGAAUCUUUGAACGCAUAUUGCGCCCUUUGGCAUUCCGAAGGGCAUCCUGUUCGAGCGUCAUUACACCCCUCAAGUCAAACUUUUUGGUUAACUUGUGUUGGGCCUUGCCGGAAGGCAUGCCUAAAAAUUAGCGAUGGUACGUUAACCACGGACGCACAAAUGUCGUUACGUAGGGGCACGGCACCAGUCUAAGAUUAAUUUCUCAAUGUUGACCUCGGAUCAGGUAGGAAUACCCGCUGAAUUAAGCAUAUCAAUAAGCGGAGGA
rnacentral:rRNA from 1 species